GGAAUUACCAUGUCUUGUCUGGCAGGCCCCUCAUGGUGAGGGAAUUAUCUCCCUUUCUGCACUGACAGAAAGAACAACCAAAUUCUCUCUAAACCCCACAGCAAAACUCUUGUUGAAUGGUGGAUGCUAGCAUCCUCCAGGCCAGGCUGAGAGGGAAGAGAGAGAACUCUGCAGCUGGAACUGCAGCCUGGUAGAACUGAAAGUGAAGUGAUUCCAGAGAUGUAUAGGAAAGGGGCUGGAAGUAAGUCAGCCACCAGGUUGUGUCUAACACCCAGCAGUGAUGGGAAUGCCACCCUCUACAGGUGUUCUGAGCAAACAAGGGGUACCACUGAAGUACCACUGGCAUAUUUUGGAGUGAAGGCACCAGGGACAAAGCUCCUUAAGAUGAAGCAAACUCAGAGAGAAACCAUGAAAGUCAUGUUGAAGGCAGAAGUUUUGUGCUGCCUUGGAUCAGUGAAUUUCCUGAUAGAGACAGAUGCUUGUACUUACCAAGAGGAGCUACCUCUAGACAGAAAGCUAAAGACCACAUUUGGCACUGUCAAACACUCAUCAUCCUCUUAGUGCUUCAAAGUGUAAAUCUGAUCAUGUUCUGUAACAGUCUCAAUGAACUUUUGAGCUUACAGCCCUUUUAUCUUGUAUAACAUUUCUUCCUCUUUCUGUUUGGCAAUCUGAUUUUAUUAGGAUUUGUCAGUGUAGUCAAGUGUGCAUCUGAAUAGCCUGAGAAAUUUAACAGUGCAAGUAAUGGAGAAUCAUGUCCUGUUGCAUUUGGAGGCACCUGCCCUUAAAUAGAGAAUUUUUUCUGCCACGUGCAAUAACUUCUAUCUUUCUAUCAGAAAACUGAUAUAACCCACCUUUGUAUGGAAAAGAGUGCCUAAAUACU
rnacentral:lncRNA from 1 species